GGGACAACGUUUCGAAAGGAACGCUAAUACCGCAUACGUCCUACGGGAGAAAGCAGGGGACCUUCGGGCCUUGCGCUAUCAGAUGAGCCUAGGUCGGAUUAGCUAGUUGGUGGGGUAAUGGCUCACCAAGGCGACGAUCCGUAACUGGUCUGAGAGGAUGAUCAGUCACACUGGAACUGAGACACGGUCCAGACUCCUACGGGAGGCAGCAGUGGGGAAUAUUGGACAAUGGGCGAAAGCCUGAUCCAGCCAUGCCGCGUGUGUGAAGAAGGUCUUCGGAUUGUAAAGCACUUUAAGUUGGGAGGAAGGGCAGUAAGUUAAUACCUUGCUGUUUUGACGUUACCGACAGAAUAAGCACCGGCUAACUCUGUGCCAGCAGCCGCGGUAAUACAGAGGGUGCUAGCGUUAAUCGGAAUUACUGGGCGUAAAGCGCGCGUAGGUGGUUUGUUAAGUUGGAUGUGAAAGCCCCGGGCUCAACCUGGGAACUGCAUCCAAAACUGGCAAGCUAGAGUACGGUAGAGGGUGGUGGAAUUUCCUGUG
rnacentral:rRNA from 1 species